AGACCAUGAUGAGGAUAGUGCCUAAAUAGGUCUUUGUAUCUUUCCCAGACUUCGUACAGUGACUCACCAUCAAACUGUGUAAAUGAAGUAAUAUUGCUACUCAUCUU
rnacentral:snoRNA from 1 species